AGAACAAAAGAGAUGAACAUUUAUUGAAAAAAAGAAAUGUUCCUCAAGAAGAAAGUUUAGAAGAUUCAGAUGUUGAUGCUGAUUUUAAAGCACAAAAUGUAACACUAGAAGCUAUAUUGCAGAAUGCCACAAGUGAUAACCCAGUGGUCCAGCUAAGUGCUGUCCAGGCAGCAAGAAAACUGUUAUCCAGUGACAGAAACCCACCUAUUGAUGACCUAAUAAAAUCUGGGAUUUUACCAAUUCUAGUCAAAUGUCUAGAAAGGGAUGAUAAUCCUUCAUUACAGUUUGAAGCUGCUUGGGCACUAACUAAUAUAGCAUCAGGAACUUCUGCACAGACUCAAGCUGUUGUACAGUCUA